rnacentral:rRNA from 1 species
UACAGAGGUCUCAAGCGUUGUUCGGAUUCAUUGGGCGUAAGGGUGUGUAGGUGGCGCCGUAAGUCGGGUGUGAAAUCUCGGGGCUUAACUCCGAAACUGCAUUCGAUACUGCGGUGCUUGAGGACUGGAGAGGAGACUGGAAUUCAUGGUGUAGCAGUGAAAUGCGUAGAGAUCAUGAGGAACACCAGUGGCGAAGGCGGCUAUCUGGACGGUUUCUGACGCUAAGACGCGAAAGCGUGGGGAGCAAACAGG